CAUAAACCCUGAGCUCUCUGUGCUCAGAGCCCUCCCUGCUUCCUCGGUCCCUCAUACUUUUCCUGAGCCUCAGUGCCUUGGUACAUUCUGCUUCCUCCACUCCAAGGUGCUUCUUUCUCUUCUCCCUUAAAACUUCCCUCCCUAACCUUUAAAGUCCAGCUUGAGUCCCAAAGGCACCUGAUCUUCUGGGAAAACAUGACCACCAAAUAUCAACUCCAGGCCUAUGAGGCCUAAUCGGAUGAUUAAGGACAAGAUCAGCAGGAGGUAACCACAGUGAUGUGACCUGCAGCCUCCCAGCAAUCAAAGUACUUGGAAUCUUGGAAUCUGGGCCCACUCUGCAGCCUGGGACAGAGCUGGUUUCACCCUCCGAUGCUAAGCAGAAGAGAGAGGAAGCUGAGUUUGUACCAGAGUGGGCCACAGGAAAAUUCUUGAGAUAUUCUUUGGAGCUAUCAAGGUAGAAAGGAAGCAGCAGCUGUCUUGGAGAUCACUCACCAUUGCCGAACAGCUACUCAUCUUGUAUGAACAAGGCUGAAGCUGGGCUACCUUCCCCUAGAUCCUGCUUUCACUUCUUUGAUUCUUGAGGAAGGUGCGUUCAGUUCUGUAACAAAGAGCCCUGGCUUCUGUAUGACAUCCACAUCAUGGAAGUUUUCCUUCACUGACUGAACCCUGUCUGGUACUCUGGGAUUUAGAGAACACAGGAUAAAAAAUCUGCACAGAACACUGAAUUGCACUUUGUCUUGCUAAUGAAUGCAUGUUGGAAGGCACCACUGGAAUGUUCACAAAGGACAUGUCACAGUGUAGAGUCACCGUGUUCUGGAGCCAGGUUCUCAUUUACACAAUUCUAUAAACUUGAUCUUGUUAAAGCCUACGUGAGUUAAAAUGUUUGAAGUCAGAGGAAACAGAAAACCCAAUGCAAACUGGCUGAAAGCAGGAGACAGAUACAUUUGCUGAAUCAGGAUGCUGCUCCACAUUUUCACCAUUCUCUUGGACUUGCUUUCUUUUUCUUGUCUACUGGGCAUUGAUGUUGAGAGGAAACCUGUUGAAGUGGUUGUUCCUGCACAACACAGCAACCAGGGACAGAGAAAUAGUCUCUUCUAUUUCUUUUUACCACAUUAUCCCAGGAAUGGGACCACACCAGACUCUCCAUACAUCCUUGUUCAGAAUGGAUGGACCUAGAAGUGGUUAAACUGGAGGGCACUGAUAUAUAAAUUCCAGGGAAAGUUUACAUCACAGAAGAAGGGCCUGAGGCACUAUGGAGGUGGAUGCAGGAGCCUGAGGACCACAUGUGCCCAUCAGAUGUUCUUGUUUGCCCUAGGACAUGUAGAAAACAUCGGCACUGACAGGCUGCCAUUGAAUAGUUUUAUCCACUACAGAAAAUAAAGACAGCUGUACUC